UAUAUUUAAUUUAUUUAUCUUUUUCUUUUUUAAGCAUUAAUGUUCCAGAAAGUAAAGAUUAUAUUUUCUGUCCAGGACUCAUCUAAGUAUUUAGCUUGGCUAAAUACUAGUAAUGUUGACAUUUUUGAAUAUUCUUUUUUCAGACUGUUGAAUCUUGCUCCCACGUCUGAGCUGUCCUUUCUGCAACACAUAGGCUUGGCGUGAAAAUGAACUAAAGUGCCUCAUGUGUCAUAGAGAAGUGUAAAUGACUAAUGCCAUCACACAUCAAAAAGUUAUAUUGAUCUGCUGCAAAUAUCAUGGUUUUAAUGUUUUGUUAAUAUUAUUAGGAUGCCUAUCUGCUUUGUAACUUCAUAAACGAGCUGCACCAAUAUUGAUUUUGCAUCAGGAAAAAGUGUGAAUGGGGGUGCCAUUAUUUGCGGUUACCCAGAAAUGUUUUUUUCACCCCAGGCACCCUGUACCCAUCAGUUCUGAUGAGUAAAUAAGUUUCUGUAAAGUGCAGUUGUGCAGUGAAUGGGAAUGUUCUGUCGUUAAUCCUCACUGUUCUUGGGAAGGAGAAAUGUUAGUUUGUAUGCAAUAACACUGAAAAACUGUGACAUUGUAUUAAAACAAUACUCUGUUCUUGGGGAAACAUUUUUCCUCCAACGCGUACAUAUUAUUUUAUUGUGUUAUUUUUUUAUAAGCAUGUUGUUUAUAAACUUUUAAUAUACUGA